rnacentral:rRNA from 1 species
GACGAACGCUGGCGGCGCGCUUAACACAUGCAAGUCGAGCGAGAACCAGACCUUCGGGUCUGGGGACAGCGGCGAACGGGUGAGUAACACGUGGGGAAUCAACCCUCGGUACUGGGAUAGCCCGGGGAAACCCGGAUUAAUACCGGAUGGCGCUUCGACUCUUCGGUUCCGAAGGAAAAGGUAGCUUCGGCCUCCGACCGAGGACGAGCCCGCGGCGGAUUAGCUUGUUGGUGGGGUAACGGCCUACCAAGGCGGCGAUCCGUAGCUGGUCUGAGAGGACGAUCAGCCACACUGGGACUGAGACACGGCCCAGACUUCUACGGAAGGCAGCAGUGGGGAAUCUUGCGCUAAUGCGGGAAACCGUGACGCAGCGACGCCGCGUGAGGGAAGAAGGCCUUCGGGUUGUAAACCUCUUUCAGAAGGGACGAAGCUACUCGGGUUAAUAGCCCAGAGGGUGACGGUACCUUCAGAAGAAGCCCCGGCUAACUACGUGCCAGCCGCCGCCGUAA